CCUUAUGAGGGUGAUGAGGUGCUUUUUGUAGAACGAGCCAACGAGUUACGGUAUGUAGCAAGGUUAAGUACUUAAGGUACGGAGCCGAAGGGAAACCGAGUCUGAAUAGGGCGACUAGUUGCAUGCCGUAGACCCGAAACCGGGUGACCUAUCCAUGGCCAGGUUGAAGCGAGGGUAAAACCUCGUGGAGGACCGAACCACGUUGCUGUUGAAAAAGCAUGGGAUGAGCUGUGGAUAGCGGAGAAAUUCCAAUCGAACCCGGAGAUAGCUGGUUCUCUCCGAAAUAGCUUUAGGGCUAGCGUCGAGUAUGAGUAGUGGAGGUAGAGCACUGAAUGGGCUAGGGGGCAUAGCGCUUACCGAACCUUAUCAAACUCCGAAUGCCACAUACUUUGAGCUCGGCAGUCAGACUACGAAUGAUAAGAUCCGUGGUCAAAAGGGAAACAGCCCAGAUCGUCAGCUAAGGUCCCAAAGUGUAAGUUAAGUGGGAAAGGAUGUGAGAUUUCUAAGACAACUAGGAUGUUGGCUUAGAAGCAGCCAUUCAUUAAAAGAGUGCGUAAUAGCUCACUAGUCGAGAGAUCUUGCGCCGAAAAUGUAACGGGGCUAAACUUACCACCGAAGCUACGGGCUUGAACUUAGUUCAAGCGGUAGGAGAGCGUCGUAACCGGGCUGAAGUCGUACCGUAAGGAGCGGUGGACUGGUUACGAGUGAGAAUGUUGGCAUCAGUAGCGAGAUGUGGGUGAGAAUCCCACAGGCCGAAAACCUAAGGUUUCCUCAGGAAGGUUCGUCCGCUGAGGGUUAGUCGGGACCUAAGCCGAGGCCGAAAGGCGUAGGUGAUGGACAACUGGUUGAUAUUCCAGUACCACUACCAUCGUUAUUAUCGAUGGCGUGACGCAGGAGGAUAGUGUGUGCUAGCUAU
rnacentral:rRNA from 1 species